UACAGAGGGUGCUAGCGUUGUUCGGAAUCAUUGGGCGUAAAGGGCGUGUAGGCGGUUUGUUAAGUCAUGUGUGAAAUCCCUCGGCUCAACCGGGGAACGACGCAUGAAACUGGCAAGCUAGAGUACCAAAGAGGGGGGUGGAAUUCCCGGUGUAGCGGUGAAAUGCGUAGAUAUCGGGAGGAAUACCAGUGGCGAAGGCGGCUCACUGGACCGGGAACUGACGCUGAGGCGCGAAAGCGUGGGAGCAAACGGG
rnacentral:rRNA from 1 species